rnacentral:rRNA from 1 species
AACGGCCAUACCAUGCUGAAUAUACCGGUUCUCGUUAGAUCACCGAAGUCAAGCAUCAUUGGGCGCGGUCAGUACUUGGGUGAAUGACCACCUGGGAACACCGCGUGCCGUU